ACAUUAAACGCCAACGCCGUGUCGAGGAUUUUUAAUGAGCCAGGUGGGAUUCCGGUGCGGUUUAACAGCCAAGACUGAUUUCUGAAAGACGCAUCUGAGUCGCGACGCGCUUCUACGGUGUCGCUCCUUCGUGUCAUUGUCAGCGUCUUUGUUUUGCCUUAUGUCCUUGCGUCACGCUAAUAUUUUGGAUGCAACCUUCAGACGCACCGUUCGUCCUUGUUUUUUUUUUGUCCCUAAAAUUGGAUAAUAUAUCUCCAGAACAAGCAUCGUGUUUGACGUCGGACAUGGCAACGGAAUGUUAAUCAUUUGUUUUGCAGUCUUUGUUUUCCUCUUGUAUGGAUGCUAUUUUGGUUGGUUCAAAAAUGUUGAGAUUUCUCUUAGCAAUGGCGAGUUUGUCCUAAUUAAUAAGAACCUGGUUGCAGUCUCCUCUGGACUUGGCUUUCUCCCCGUUGAACUUUUGCUCAGUCGCCUCCAAAUGGAG